AUUGAACGCUGGCGGCGGGCCUAACACAUGCAAGUCGAGCGGAGCGGCGGACGGGUGAGUAAUGCCGAGGGAUCUGCCUGGUAGUGGGGGAUAACGUCCGGGAACGGGCGCUGAUACCGCAUACUAUCAGAUGAGCCUAGGUGGGAUUAGCUGGUGGGUGGGGUAAAGGCCUACCAAGGCGACGAUCCGUCACUGGUCUGAGAGGAGGAUCAGUCACACUGGAACUGAGACACGGUCCAGAUCCCUACGGGAGGCAGCAGUGGGGAAUAUUGGACAAUGGGCGAAAGCCUGAUCCAGCCAUGCCGCGUGUGUGAAGAAGGUCUUCGGAUUGUAAAGCACUUUAAGUUGGGAGGCGUUACCAACAGAAUAAGCACCGGCUAACUUCGUGCCAGCCGCCGCGGUAAUUC
rnacentral:rRNA from 1 species